CAUUGUCAGCUCUUUCCUUCCCUCACCGGUUUUCCCAGUUCUUUUUUUUUCUUUUUGCUAUUUCUUGGGCCGCUCCAGCCGCAUAUGGAAGUUCCCAGGCUAGGGGUCGAAUCGGAGCUGUAGCCACCGGCCUACGCCAGAGCCACAGCAACGCAGGAUCCGAGCCGCGUCUGCAACCUACACCACAGCUCACGGCAACGCUGGAUCCUUAACCCACUGAGCAAGGGCAGGGACCGAACCCGCAACCUCAUGGUUCCUAGUCAGAUUUGUUAACCACUGCGCCAUGAUGGGAGCUCCUUAGUUUUUUUAUACUUUCCUGUGAGAGCCUAAUUAGCCCAGAACAUGCCCAUACACUGGCUAAAACCACUUUUGAUGAGGCCAUCAUAGAGUUCGAUGCGCUGAAUGAAAACUCAUACAAAAACGACGUCCUUAUCAGGCAGCCGCUUAGAGACAGCCUGACUCUGUGGACGUCGUACCGUGCAGGAGGAGAACGUGAGGUGUGGAAGGGGUAGAAACUCACUGUGUACAGGGUGUCAUCCUCUUUUCCUUCAAGAAGAAUUUUUACACAUCACCAUUCCCCAGCGCACUUGGGUUCUCAAAGCAAAGAAACCCACUCCGUGAACGGAGUAGAGUAAGUGCUUUACUUACAUCGAUCAAUCUCAUAACCGUCUCUUCUUCGGUGUAAAUGAUACGUGUUACCUGUUACAUGUAAUAAAAGGGACCUCUUUAAACUAGGGUGGGGGGAGUGGGAUGUAAGCCAGGUCCACCACCCUGGAAGGACUCCUGGAAGGAGAAGUAAGAUUAUAGCGAAGCACUGAGUCAGACAGUCCCCCUGCUGGUCAACAGGUGGCGGUAGAGCAGCUUGGAUGACAACUGGAACGGAGGGCGGAAGUCAUUGCUCAGGAUCCAGGCAGUGUUUGGGUGAAUGUGUAGGGAGAGAGUGUGACCAGUUGUUUAUAUUUGAAUGUGUCUUAUCUCUUUUUUUUUUUUGUCUUUUGUUUAGGGCCGCACCUGCAGCAUAUGGAGGUUCCCAGGCUGGGGGUCCAAUCGGAGCUAUAGCUGCUGGUCACCACCACAGCCACAGCCCUGCAGGAUCCUUAACCCACUGAGCAAGGCCAGGGAUCAAACUUGUGUCCCCGUGGAUACUAGUCAGGUUCAUUAACCACUGAGCCAUGAUCAGAAUUCCUGUAUCAUAUCUCUUUAAAAUGCUCAUUGCUUGAAACAAGGAAGGCUUCCAGGCACAACUGAAAGUUGUACUGAACAUUCCUGGGCCUCGGCUUCCUCCUUAUAACAUGGAUAUAAAAGUUAGGCCUACUUCAUAGCAUUAGUCGUGUAAACAUAACCACGCAGAUUACAGGGUAAAUGCUGGAUAAAUGUCAGUCAUUAGGACUCUGCACUCUGCAUGAGGCACAGGUAAUAGCAGCAGGUGUUAGUGGAUACAUAAUUGGACAAGAUGCUCACACGCCAGAUAUUUGUAACUCGGAGACUACCUAACGUUAAAAUAGCCAUAGUACAGGCUGGUAGAGGCGUUAUCUUCACAUUGGUAAUGAAAACUCUUUACUUUAAAAAGUAUACAGCCUCAGAAGUUCAUUGAAAUUGUACCUCUCCGAGUAUCAUUUAGAAUUUAUGUAUACUUCAUUGAAUGUUUCCAGAGAGGUAUAUAAAUAAUACUAAGCUGGGAAAGCUUAUUUUGAUUUAUUCCCUAGGCAGGAAUUGUCAGUUCCUACCCUGGUCAGCUCUUCCCAGACACAGAUGGGUUGCAUUAUGAUCUCAUGUCUAUCGUUACCUACAAGGCCACUUCUAGAAAGAGGCUGGAAUUAGUCUUGCUGUUCCAAGUUCGAUAUUCAGAGGACCAAAGGGAACUCAGGAGUACUUGCUCAGAACAUCAGGUUGCAUUUUUCCUUCUUAACUUUGUGGUUUCAAAUGCUAGGGGAGACUUCUCUCCAGCUUCCUGGUUUACAUGUAAUUUUUUUCUGAGAACAAAGUUUAGUCCUCCACCCCAGCUAGUACCUUGACAACCUGCUUAUCCAUUUCUCCCCUCUUAUUUCAAUAUUCGAACUAUGCCACUGCCCCUCAGAUGUGGAUGAGAUUCUGCCUCAACCCCCUGCAACAAUAAUAGAUCGCUCUGGGACAGCUAUCCAGCCCCUCUGACAAGCACUGCUAUAGUCAGGAAGGCAGUGAUAAUGUCACAUCAGUUCUUUGAUGUUGAUCCUAGCCCAGAUUAACCCUGCAUGUCCCACCCCACUUUAGACUGUUACUGGGACUGCUGACCAGGCCAACAAAAUCUGGCCCAGCUGCUGACUUAUCCUUCCCCUGCCCGUUUCCACCUUCCUUUCUUUCCCUCCUUCAGAAAGCCUCAUUCAGGCCUGACAAAAAGGGAAGAUUGCAUGGAAUAAGAGAAAGGCUGAUGUUAUAAAGAGGAGGAGUGGAAUUCCAUUGUGGCUGAGCAGGAAUGAAUCUGACUAGCAUCCCUGGGGAUGCAGGUUCAAUCCCUGGCCUUGCUCAGUGGGUUGAGGAUCUGGCGUUGCCAUGAGCUGUGGUGUCGGCUCGCAGCUGCAGCUCCAAUUCAACCUCUAGCCUGGGAAUUUCCAUAUGCUGCAAGUACAACCCUAAAAAGAAAAAAAAAAAUUAACUUUGAAGUGUUGUGAGGAUGAAAUACUAUGCAGAAAAAAUGUUUGGAGUUCCCUUCAUGGCUCUGCAGUUACUGAACCAGACUAGGAUCUAUGAGGAUAUGGGUUCGAUCUCUGGCCUUGUUCAGUGGGUUAAGGAUCUGGUGUUGACAUGAGCUGUGGUGUAGGUCACAGAUGCGGCUUAGAUCCUGAAUUGCUGUGGCUGUGGCUGGCAGCUGCAGCUCUAAUUCGACCCCUAGCCUGGGAACUGGGAACUUCCAUAUACCUUGGGUGUGGCCCUAAAAAGGAAAACAAAAAAAA
ensembl:lncRNA